GGGGAAGUAAAAAUCACGGGCCUCGAA
rnacentral:sRNA from 1 species